rnacentral:lncRNA from 10 species
CUUCUGAGAAAUUAGUUUCUCUCUUAAGGUAAAACCUGUGGAAGAGGCCAUCUCUCUUUUCCCUUGGGUGUUGUGACAUGUGAAAGACAGCCACAGAUUUUCGUUUGCCUAGGACAGUUCCAGUUUAUGCCCACUGUCCUACAGUUGAAUGUACAGCUGGUAUAAAAAUGGUGCUUUGUCGUCAUGAAGAAGGUGUAUUCUGGGAUCAAACCACCUGGCUGGAGAUGCUUACUAACCUCAGUUUCUUCAUCUGACCUUACCUUUCUAAAAGAAUAAGAAGAAGAUGAUACAUAUUCCUCUAAAGUCCCAACAGGAACCUUUUCCCCUCACUCCCUCCCCAGAGAUGUGUAUCAUUUCCAUGAGUGUCUGUACUUUUACAACAUGUGCAUAUUAAUAAACAAAAUAUGACAAAUUAUUUUGUCUUAAUAUUUGCAUAAAUCUAGCCAUACUCUACACCACUUUUGCAACUUUCACUAUUAUAUAUUUUGAAGAUUAUCCGUGUUUAUGCACAUAAGUUUAUCAUUUUAACUGUUGAAUAGUGUUUCAUUAUAUGAAUUAACCAUAAUUCAUCUAUUUCCCUGAGUGACAAUUAGGUUUCUUUUUGUUUUUAUGCUCUGAUGAACAAUCUUGCAAUUAUUAUCUUUGUAUAUGUCUUCAUGUAUAAGAAAUUCUCCAGGGUAGACACUUAGAAGUAAAGGGUCUGACUCAGAGAGUCUGUGUAUUUUAAAAUGUAUUGGUUAUUGUCAAAUUGUUCCUCAAAGUAGAUGUACCAAUUUACAUUCCUACAGUGGUAUAUAACAGUUUUUUUUUCUCCACAUCCUCUUCAACACUCGUCAUUACCAG